rnacentral:rRNA from 1 species
UGGGGAACUUUGGACAAUGGGCGCGAGCCUGAUCCAGCAAUGCCGCGUGCAGGAUGAAGGCCUUCGGGUUGUAAGCUGCUUUUGUACGGAACGAAAAGGCUCUGGUUAAUACCUGGGGCUCAUGACGGUACCGUAAGAAUAAGCACCGGCUAACUACGUGCCAGCAGCCGCGGUAAUACGUAGGGUGCGAGCGUUAAUCGGAAUUACUGGGCGUAAAGCGUGCGCAGGCGGUUAUAUAAGACAGAUGUGAAAUCCCCGGGCUCAACCUGGGAAUUGCAUUUGUGACUGCAUCGCUGGAGUGCGGCAGAGGGGGAUGGAAUUCCGCGUGUAGCAGUGAAAUGCGUAGAGAUGUGGAGGAACACCGAUGGCGAAGGCAGCCCCCUGGGAUAACACUGACGCUCAUGCACGAAAGCGUGGGGAGCAAACA